ensembl:snoRNA
GAGGUGUGCUCAGAGCAGGGGGCCUGAAGAAUGGCUCCUCUGUUUACAACACACCCAACAGGAAUCUGGAGUCAUUGCGAUGAGAGGCAUGAAGCUUGUGGCCUCCCUACAAACAAAUGCUCUACAUGU